rnacentral:sRNA from 1 species
GCUGGGCGCUGUGGUGCUCGCCUGUAAUCCCAGCAUCUGGGGAGGCUAAGGCAGGAGGAUCCUGAGUUUGAAGCCAUCCUCUGCAACUAAUCGAGAGGCCCUAAGCAACUCAGUAAGACCUUGUCUCUA